rnacentral:rRNA from 1 species
UACGUAGGGGGCUAGCGUUGUCCGGAAUCAUUGGGUGUAAAGCGCGUGUAGGCGGCCCGAUAAGUCCGCUGUGAAAGUCCAGGGCUCAACCCUGGGAUGCCGGUGGAUACUGUCGGGCUCGAGUCCGGAAGAGGCGAGUGGAAUUCCUGGUGUAGCGGUGAAAUGCGCAGAUAUCAGGAGGAACACCAAUGGCGAAGGCAGCUCGCUGGGACGUGACUGACGCUGAGACGCGAAAGCGUGGGGAGCAAACAGG